UGGCGUGGCUCUAAUAACUUACAGCUGUCCUGGGGCAUUUUUCCACAGUCUUUUGUUGUUCUUGCUGGUGAAUAUAUUUUCGAUGUGCAUGCUUGUAUAAAUAGCGCUUCACGGGCAGGUAUGCAGACUGCAGGAGUAGGUUAUCUCCCCAGGGAGCAUGUAGAAGUGGGCCUCCAGGUUAUGGUCUAGAUCUGAGGCACUAUGUGAUGGUUAAGUGGGGAACUAGAGCAAAUGCGACUGACUUUCAGAGGGAGGGCAGAGAGAUUGACAUAUCUAUUAAAAACUGCUCAAGGCUGUUUAGUUAUUUAAAAAAGAAAUUAUAUCCCUCACUUUUGUCUUUUAUUUGUCUAUAAUAAACGUAGUGCUUGAAUAACUUUGUCAACCCCGUAGUUAAGUAUGGUUACAGUCACACACUUCGGUUAUAACGAGUGAAAGCCACAGUCUAUAACCAAACUGACUCUCUGUGCCAUGUGAAUGUAACUCAAGCUAACUUGUGUCAUUUUGGCAUUGUGUCCCUGUUGUUUUUUUGUUUUGUUUUGUAUUGUCUACGACAGGGUGAUGCUAACCGUUCCUACUCUGAUGACGACAGAUCCUCUUGUAACUUAGAAGAAACUGAGAAAAAGGACUCACUCCAGCUGUCCGAUCCCAAGAUUUCCACUUUGACCCCUAAUGGACAUCUGGAUUUGUCACCUGCACCCAACGCCAGGGGCCUGUACCCAUCUGAAAGGCUGAGUUUUGCCUUGAGUUCCCGCAAGAGCAGCGUGAGCUCUCUAGGCAUGGCUAGCCUGGAGCAGACGGCACUGUGUCCAGGACGAGCCUCUUUGUAUCACAACUGGGGACGGCCCGCACGACCAGGAAUAUGGAGUCGCAGGUCAAGCUGGAACAGCUUAAGUCGAUCCUCUAGAUGCCUGGGAAUGGGGGGCGGAGGCAGUUUAAGGGUCCGCAGCCCUCACUCUCGCCCCGCUGAGCAGGAGUCCCUGCUGUCUCCUCCGCCCCCUCCUCUGCACCCGCCUCUGCUCUCCAGACGCUUUGUCCCGUGCAGAGAACGCCGGGCUCUCUCUUUGGAGCUUCCUGAGCUGCUGCAGGUGCCUGGACCAGCCCUGCCUCCUCUGCAUGCACGGCAACGCAAGAAGAGCUUCUCUGGGGGUCUGGGAAGCGUUGGAGAGCACCAGGACUGUAAUGGGAAGACACCAUCAGUCCAACCACAAAUCAUCAAUGAAGUCUACCCUCAGGUCAAUGCACGCAAGACAG
rnacentral:lncRNA from 1 species